rnacentral:rRNA from 1 species
UACGUAGGGUGCAAGCGUUGUCCGGAAUUAUUGGGCGUAAAGCGCACGUAGGCGGAUAUUUAAGUCAGGGGUGAAAUCCCAGAGCUCAACUCUGGAACUGCCUUUGAUACUGGGUAUCUUGAGUAUGGAAGAGGUAAGUGGAAUUGCGAGUGUAGAGGUGAAAUUCGUAGAUAUUCGCAGGAACACCAGUGGCGAAGGCGGCUUACUGGUCCAUAACUGACGCUGAGGUGCGAAGCGUGGGAGCAACAGG